AUUGAACGCUGGCGGCAGGCUUAACACAUGCAAGUCGAGCGGGAAAGGUAGCUUGCUACCUAACCUAGCGGCGGACGGGUGAGUAAUGCUUAGGAAUCUGCCUAUUAGUGGGGGACAACAUUCCGAAAGGAAUGCUAAUACCGCAUACGCCCUACGGGGGAAAGCAGGGGAUCUUCGGACCUUGCGCUAAUAGAUGAGCCUAAGUCAGAUUAGCUAGUUGGUGGGGUAAAGGCCUACCAAGGCGACGAUCUGUAGCGGGUCUGAGAGGAUGAUCCGCCACACUGGGACUGAGACACGGCCCAGACUCCUACGGGAGGCAGCAGUGGGGAAUAUUGGACAAUGGGCGAAAGCCUGAUCCAGCCAUGCCGCGUGUGUGAAGAAGGCCUUUUGGUUGUAAAGCACUUUAAGCGAGGAGGAGGCUACUUAGAUUAAUACUCUAGGAUAGUGGACGUUACUCGCAGAAUAAGCACCGGCUAACUCUGUGCCAGCAGCCGCGGUAAUACAGAGGGUGCGAGCGUUAAU
rnacentral:rRNA from 1 species